GGAAUAUUGGACAAUGGGCGAAAGCCUGAUCCAGCAAUGCCGCGUGAGUGAUGAAGGCCUUAGGGUUGUAAAGCUCUUUUACCCGGGAUGAUAAUGACAGUACCGGGAGAAUAAGCCCCGGCUAACUCCGUGCCAGCAGCCGCGGUAAUACGGAGGGGGCUAGCGUUGUUCGGAAUUACUGGGCGUAAAGCGCACGUAGGCGGCUUUGUAAGUUAGAGGUGAAAGCCCGGGGCUCAACUCCGGAACUGCCUUUAAGACUGCAUCGCUAGAAUUGUGGAGAGGUAAGUGGAAUUCCGAGUGUAGAGGUGAAAUUCGUAGAUAUUCGGAAGAACACCAGUGGCGAAGGCGGCUCACUGGACUCAUAUUGACGCUGAGGUGCGAAAGCGUGGGGAGCAAACAGGA
rnacentral:misc_RNA from 1 species